AUGGCGAUCGUUCUGGACGGUGCCACUAAGCAUACAAGUGCAGCGGUGGGUGCUCUGCCGACGUGGUCUAGGCCGGUGAAUGGAUGGGUAAAACUUAAUACAGAUGGGUCUUUUGUCUCAAGUGAAAUAGCUGGAGCAGGGAUGAUUCUGAGAGACUCGGAUGGCAAGAUCAUCUUCUCGGCGUGCAGGGCUCUAUUCUCCUGUAGAGAUGCUUUGAAGGCUGAACUGUGUGCCUGUAUGGAGGGCAUCUCCUAUGCUUUGCAGCGGUCAGAUUUGCUUAUUGCAAUCGAAUUGGACUCUCUUGUGGCGGUAUCUAUGAUCACAUGUGAUUGUGAUCGGUCUGCUUAUGCUUUUCUGGUAAAGGAGAUUAGAUAUCUUCUUAGUCUUCGUCAAUCUUGUAUUACUCAUGUCUCGCGGUCGCGAAAUAAGGCCAGCGAUAGUCUAGCUGCUUUUGGUAGAGCUCAAGGUAGAACCAUGACCUGGAUUGGUUCGGCUCCUCCGGAUGUGUUAGAACUGGUCAUCCCAAUCUUUUCCACCCGCUCCGGCCGCCAGCCUCCCCACGCAGGCGUUCAGAGCCGCUCCCUCCUGCCGUUCCUCCGCUUCGAGUCCUCCUCACGACGGAGGCAUCGGGCGCACUGCGCCGCAGCGCCGGCGUUCAGAGCCACUCCAUCCUGCCGUUCCUCCGCUCCUGGUCCUCCUCGCGGUGGCGGCAUCGGACGCACUGGACACGCCGGAUGCGGCCAUCCCCAUCGCGGCCCCAGUUUGUGGGGAUCCAGCUGGCCAGGUGGCCUCGAGAAGGAGCAGGGCGUUAGUAUCCCCCGCCUCCUUGGCGCCGCCAUGGCCUGCAAGACAUCCCCGCGCAGCCGAUUUAUCGUCUACGCACACUCUGCCUCCCCUCCGGUUCCUCCUCACGCCGGCGGCCCCGAACGAACGCACCGGACAAGGCCCUUAGCCGGGAGCCCGGGACACAUCUGUAGUCCUCCGUUGCCUCCCCUCCCUUCUCUGGACCAGCUUAUCCCUCUACAGCGUCAAGACCAAGAUUCUGCUGUGCCGAUGCUUCUGUGCAAUUUGUUUGCAAAUAGAGGCAGUGAAGAUCAAGUCGGUGGCCAACAAUUGUUGGAAUCAACCACGGCAGACCAGUCCGGCACGGACUUGGUGCAAUCAUCCGAGUAG
rnacentral:rRNA from 1 species